UACGUUGACUCACGUGGGCGAUUACUUUACAAGUCAAAACAAAUAACUGAAUUUGUGUUUACUUUUCUUUGUUCCAUGUGAAUUUUUGUCCCAGGCUUUAUACUUGGAUUAUUUAGACCCCAGACUACAUACUAUACUGAUUUAGACGCCAAAUAGUAUCUAGGUCUCUAGCAAGCAUGGAGAAGAACUUGGAUCGUGUAAUGGAAGAAAUAUGCAGUAAUGGGGAAGUAUUAGGUUGCCUGUUUUCUGAUCAUCAGGGGUUCUGUAUAGGAUCGAGGGGCCUAGCUUCUAAUGAAAGCGCCGGAUUUAUCACAGCAAUUGCCAAUCAAGCCGCUAAACUAGAACCUAAUAGCAAACCACCCAUUAUUACUUUAGAGAACGAUAGCCAACUGUGUAUCAUCCAAAAAAUGGGCACUGUGACUGGGGCCAUUUAUAAACGGACUUAGUCUCUCUCUCAUUGCAGAACCUUAAUUUUUGUUUGUUAAAUAUUUAUUAAGUUUUUAUUUGUGAAAGGCAAUACAUAUUUGUCCGAAAUGUAAAUAUGUUCAUAGAACCUGUAUUGUUUCUGUACGUGAUACGGCUGUUGCAAAGCAGUUCAGUUAGUUCUGGAUAACAACAUUUAAUAAGGCAAAAUUUGGUUUCAACAAUCAAAUUUUAUUAAAAUCUGAAGAUCAACAAUCAA